UACUAACCAGGUCUGAAUCUAAGUGGAAAGCAGUUGAUAAAUGCCCAGCAUUAUAUUGUUCUGCAGGACGGCAAUCCACCACAAAGAACCGGACUCCUUCCUAAAACGGAAACAACAACUUACCCCUUGUAGCUGAUUCGCUUGAAGGAUCUCUGACACGGAGAUGGCCAGACAAAGAGCCUGACUCAGAUCUGCAUCAUCAUCCUUAAUUCCCAACAAAGUACUACCAAAGAGAUGGUGAUUAUCC
rnacentral:lncRNA from 1 species